rnacentral:snRNA from 1 species
CCCGUUUUCUCGGCCUUUUGGCUGAGAUCAAGUGUAGUAUCUGUUCUUAUCAGUUUAAUAUCUGAUACGUCCCCCAUCGGGGGACUACAUAUUAAAUGGAUUUUUCGAACAGGGAGUCGGAAAUGGGGCUUGCUCCGUCCGCUCCACGCAUCGACCCGGUACUGCAGUACCUCCGGGAACGGUGCAACACUU